AUUGAACGCUGGCGGCAGGCCUAACACAUGCAAGUCGAGCGAGUGGCGGACGGGUGAGUAAUGUAUGGGGAUCUGCCUGAUGGAGGGGGAUAACUACUGGAAACGGUGGCUAAUACCGCAUACUAUCGGAUGAACCCAGAUGGGAUUAGCUAGUAGGUGGGGUAACGGCUCACCUAGGCGACGAUCCCUAGCUGGUCUGAGAGGAUGAUCAGCCACACUGGAACUGAGACACGGUCCAGACUCCUACGGGAGGCAGCAGUGGGGAAUAUUGCACAAUGGGCGCAAGCCUGAUGCAGCCAUGCCGCGUGUAUGAAGAAGGCCUUAGGGUUGUAAAGUACUUUCAGCGGGGAGGCGUUACCCGCAGAAGAAGCACCGGCUAACUCCGUGCCAGCAGCCGCGGUAAUAC
rnacentral:rRNA from 1 species